rnacentral:rRNA from 1 species
UUAUAUGAGAGUUUGAUCCUGGCUCAGGAUGAACGCUGGCGGCGUGCCUAAUACAUGCAAGUCGAACGAGUUCUGAUUAUUGAAAGGUGCUUGCAUCUUGAUUUAAUUUUGAACGAGUGGCGGACGGGUGAGUAACACGUGGGUAACCUGCCCUUAAGUGGGGGAUAACAUUUGGAAACAGAUGCUAAUACCGCAUAAAUCCAAGAACCGCAUGGUUCUUGGCUGAAAGAUGGCGUAAGCUAUCGCUUUUGGAUGGACCCGCGGCGUAUUAGCUAGUUGGUGAGGUAACGGCUCACCAAGGCAAUGAUACGUAGCCGAACUGAGAGGUUGAUCGGCCACAUUGGGACUGAGACACGGCCCAAACUCCUACGGGAGGCAGCAGUAGGGAAUCUUCCACAAUGGACGCAAGUCUGAUGGAGCAACGCCGCGUGAGUGAAGAAGGCUUUCGGGUCGUAAAACUCUGUUGUUGGAGAAGAAUGGUCGGCAGAGUAACUGUUGUCGGCGUGACGGUAUCCAACCAGAAAGCCACGGCUAACUACGUGCCAGCAGCCGCGGUAAUACGUAGGUGGCAAGCGUUAUCCGGAUUUAUUGGGCGUAAAGCGAGCGCAGGCGGUUUUAAGUCUGAUGUGAAAGCCCUCGGCUUAACCGAGGAAGUGCAUCGGAAACUGGGAAACUUGAGUGCAGAAGAGGACAGUGGAACUCCAUGUGUAGCGGUGAAAUGCGUAGAUAUAUGGAAGAACACCAGUGGCGAAGGCGGCUGUCUGGUCUGUAACUGACGCUGAGGCUCGAAAGCAUGGGUAGCGAACAGGAUUAGAUACCCUGGUAGUCCAUGCCGUAAACGAUGAAUGCUAGGUGUUGGAGGGUUUCCGCCCUUCAGUGCUGCAGCUAACGCAUUAAGCAUUCCGCCUGGGGAGUACGACCGCAAGGUUGAAACUCAAAGGAAUUGACGGGGGCCCGCACAAGCGGUGGAGCAUGUGGUUUAAUUCGAAGCAACGCGAAGAACCUUACCAGGUCUUGACAUCUUUUGAUCACCUGAGAGAUCAGGUUUCCCCUUCGGGGGCAAAAUGACAGGUGGUGCAUGGUUGUCGUCAGCUCGUGUCGUGAGAUGUUGGGUUAAGUCCCGCAACGAGCGCAACCCUUAUGACUAGUUGCCAGCAUUUAGUUGGGCACUCUAGUAAGACUGCCGGUGACAAACCGGAGGAAGGUGGGGAUGACGUCAAAUCAUCAUGCCCCUUAUGACCUGGGCUACACACGUGCUACAAUGGAUGGUACAACGAGUUGCGAGACCGCGAGGUCAAGCUAAUCUCUUAAAGCCAUUCUCAGUUCGGACUGUAGGCUGCAACUCGCCUACACGAAGUCGGAAUCGCUAGUAAUCGCGGAUCAGCACGCCGCGGUGAAUACGUUCCCGGGCCUUGUACACACCGCCCGUCACACCAUGAGAGUUUGUAACACCCGAAGCCGGUGGCGUAACCCUUUUAGGGAGCGAGCCGUCUAAGGUGGGACAAAUGAUUAGGGUGAAGUCGUAACAAGGUAGCCGUAGGAGAACCUGCGGCUGGAUCACCUCCUUU